GACGAACGCUGGUGGCGUGCCUAAUACAUGCAAGUAGGACGCAGUUGCGAACGGGUGAGUAACGCGUAGGUAACUACCUAUUAGAGGGGGAUAACUAUUGGAAACGAUAGCUAAUACCGCAUACUAGUAGAUGGACCUGCGUUGUAUUAGCUAGUAGGUAGGGUAAUGGCCUAACUAGGCAACGAUACAUGACCGAGCUGAGGAGGGGAUCGGCCAACCUGGGACUGGGGAAAGGCCCAGACUCCUUCGGGGGGCAACAAGAGGGAAUCAUCGGCAAUGGGGCGAACCCUGACCGAGCAACGCCGCGGGAGUGGAGGAGGUUUUCGGAUCUUAAAGCUCUGUUGUUAAGGAAGCGGUACUUAACCAGAAAGGGACGGCUAACUACGUGCCAGCAGCCGCGGUAAUAC
rnacentral:rRNA from 1 species